rnacentral:sRNA from 1 species
CGAAAAACCAGCGUCAGUUGGCGCUGGCAGGGACUUCAAUUUGACCGACAAAUACCGUGCAGGGUCGGUAAAGCGGGCGACGCGUUGCGUCGAAAGGGACCUGGGGCGGUGGUAAAAAGGUUCACGCCCUGCAACUAAUGUGGGCCGAUUUUAUGCAGGGUUUUAUAGAUCGUCAACACUAUGAAAUCUUAAAUUUAUAACUAUUUGUAA